rnacentral:misc_RNA from 1 species
AAAUGCGAUAAGUAAUGUGAAUUGCAGAAUUCUGUGAAUCAUCGAAUCUUUGAACGCACAUUGCGCCCUCUGGCAUUCCGGGGGGCAUGCCUGUCCGAGCGUCAUUACGCACCCUCAAGCCCGGCUUGUGUGAUGGGCCCUGGCGUCUCGUUCGCGAGACGGGCCCGAAAGGCAGCGGCGGCGUCGACCCGAUGAGCCCGAGCGUAUGGGGACUUUUGUCACACGUUUGCGGUGCGGACCGGCGCCUGCUUGACUUUUCUGAUUAUCCAGGUUGACCUCGGAUCAGGUAGGGAUACCCGCUGAACUUAAGC